UUGGUCUGGGGAGAUAUCCCCUCUCAGCUAAACAAGAAUGCCUUCCAAAAUUGGUGCAUGGAUUGGAUACAUAUGAUAACUGAAUCCAGGCUGGAUUAUGGAUUUAAAAGUCCUCUUAAGGAAACUAAUUAGGCGCUUCUUCAAGGCAGUACUGCAUAGUUUGUUUUAUUUUACCAUACACGUAUAUAGAUUCACACAUCCACGUCUAUAUUUGUAAAGAUUGUGUGUUAAUCAAGAAUAAAAAAACUACACUAUGUAUUUCACCAAGUGCAGCAUUUUUAUACGAGGAAAGAUAACAUUUUCUUGUCUUGAAACUUUAGUGGUCAAUUUUUAUUUUUUGUUUUUUG